rnacentral:rRNA from 1 species
UACGUAGGGUGCAAGCGUUGUCCGGAAUUAUUGGGCGUAAAGAGCUCGUAGGCGGUCUGUUACGUCGGCUGUGAAAACCUGGGGCUCAACUCCGGGCCUGCAGCCGAUACGGGCAGACUAGAGUUCGGCAGGGGAGACUGGAAUUCCUGGUGUAGCGGUGAAAUGCGCAGAUAUCGGGAAGAACACCCGUGGCGAAGGCGGCUCUCUGGGACGGUACUGACGCUGAGACGCGAAAGCGUGGGGAGCGAACAGG